CUCCCUAAAACCGCUACGGCAAACGUAACAACUGUUUUACCAACGCGGAAUUCGGAGUUCGGCCUCGAUGCUCGCAUCGCCUUAAAUUCGGAAGUGAAUUUAAUAUGUAUCUGGAGUUUUUAUCGACGCUUGUGUGCAACAUUCUAAUAUAUUUUGAUAAAAUGGUGUAAGAAACAAGAUGUCCAAUUUUUGACAAUCCGACAUUGCUGUGUUUUCUUGUGGGUUUUCCAUUUCCAUAGUCUCUAAUUGAUUGCAGCUGCUAUCGUCACAUUAAUUGAGGGAAACGAAUCGCCAAUAUGCUUGUUCCAUAAAACAACUACGGGAUUAUCAUGAUCUAACGAAACUACAAUCAAAGAAGAUAGAGAGAAUGUACAGAAUUUCCAAUAAAAUACCAGGACAAAUAACAGAAGUAUGUUCUCGAAACAGAAAUGCAGUUACUUUCUUGCAAGAUAUAUCUGGAAAUAUGAUGAAGCGUUUGAUCAGACACGGAGGGGAAAAUUGCAACAGAGAUAUUAUGGAGUAUAUGGGCCAUUCCACGCAAAGUGAUCACACUUUUUCCCGCAUGGUCUUGGAUUUUUGUUAAAUUUUGUAGGCUUGUAAAACCCAAUGUACGAACAAAAAAUCGAUGCUCCGUUCCUCGAUAUUGUUUAAACUUUCCAAGUUAUAAGGACUGAAAAUUUAGGGUCACUUUUCUUUCAAAAAAUCAUAACUCGGAAAGUAUUAUAGAUAUCGACAUGCAUGAACCGGCAUUUUAUAGGUAAAACUUCAAAGUUUAAUAAAAAAAUUACUACAUGUGUCAACGCAAUCUUCAAAUUGUUGUAAAUAAUGUUUAUAAUUUUCAAACUUGAAAAUAACCCCAAGGGGGAGCACGAAUCGGUCUGAAAUUUUUUCUGUAGAAUCUUUAAAGAGUUUUCUAAAUACCCUGAAGAUUUCAUAAUGGAACACGCAGAAUUACCGGAGUUAUAAUAUUUUAUUGCUGCGUAUGACCUGCCGGCGGACCAUCGCGCGCCAUCCGGUCCCCAUGCGGCACUGCACUUGUCGGCGUUACUUUUCGGUCUAUCCGCUUACAAAUACAAAUUGGAGUAAAUAAUUGUUUCUAAUACACACUUUUUUCUUAAUCUGGAGAGGUGAUUUUAAAGAUUUUGAUGUGAUAGGAGAUUCACCGAGAGAUUUAAGGGCACUAUUUAACGACGAUAACGAAUAUUCCCGAUCUAUUUCUUCUACAUAACUACAGGGUGAUUCUUUCGCAACGCAACACAAAAGCCGAGCCGCACAAUGGAACCCCUGCUGUUCCGUUUCUUGACUUCGUCUCAGCCAUAAACACACACAAAGCAGUUUUGGGUCCGGCUUUUGUGUUGCGUUGCGAGAGAAUCACCCUGUAUCUGCAUUUGUUCCCGAAUUUGACGAAUUGUUGCUUAUUACUUGCUCUACAUUACUUGGACCAACAACUGGCUCUUGAACUGUUGGAAAACAACCCGGCUCACUUACGUUUACGAUAGGAAGAUUUGGACGAUUUAAUCUAGAUGUUCGAAUUACUCGCAUUCUACACAUGCAGCACAAAUUUUCUCCUAAUAUUAUAUUCUGAUAUUUUUCACGAAAGGCGAUUGUAACUGAACGAAGAUUUUUAGUUACAUUUGAAUGUCGAGGUAAACUAAAUGGAUUGGAACAAUAUCUUCGCGGCAUUUUUGCUUUCCACCAGUACACAAUUACAGUUUUAAACUAAGAAAAACAAGAAACUGAAAAGUACACAGCAUAGUUAUGCACAACACUGAACGCUUAACUGAAACCGCUUGUCUCGUUGCUUUCCCAAAUAAAACUGAACGGUGUUCUGGAAAAGUGAACCGCCAAAAUCAGUUUGCCAUACUUUUAUUGCCUUUUAAGGGUUUGUAGACAAAAGUACCAGAAACGUGUCGAUCUAUUCCGUAGUUGUUAACCGAUGGCUGGCUAUUUGAAAAAAUGUAGAGUAGCGGCGCAUGGGAACCGGACGGCGCGCGAUGAUCUGCUGGUAGGUCAUACGCAGCAAUAAAAUUUUAUAACUCCGGCAACUCUGCGUGUUCCAUCAUGAAAUCUUCAGGGUAUUUAGAAAACUCUUUAAAGAUUCUACAGAAAAAAUUUCAGACCGAUUCGUGCUCCCCCUUGAGGUUAUUUUCAAGUUUAAAAAUUAUAAACAUUAUUUACAACAAUUUGAAGAUUGCGUUGACACAUGUAGUAAUUUUUUUAUUAAACUUUGAAGUUUUACCUAUAAAACGUUCAUGCAUGUCGAUAUCUAUAAUACUUUCCGAGUUAUGAUUUUUUGAAAAAAAAGUGACCCUAAAUUUUCAGUCCUUAUAACUUGGAAAGUUUAAACAAUAUUGAGGAACGGAGCAUCGAUUUUUUGUUCGUACAUUGGGUUCUACAAGCCUACAAAAUUUAACAAAAAUCCAAGACCAUGCGGGAAAAAGUGUGAUCACUUUGCGUGGAAUGGCCCAUAUAUAUCUUCAUACAUGUAGCUUUUCACAUUAAGAAAAGAAGCAUAUAAUAGAAGCUUUUCACUAAUUGAGUACGACAAUCAGAAUCAAAAUGGGGAUAUAUUUGCCAUUAUUUGAUAAUUAAUUUGGUAGAUUCCAAAUAUAGGUGCAGUUGAAUAUAAAGUAUCAAUAUAUAAUAAUAUUACUUCUUGUUCUUUUUAUAUUUUCAGAAUCUGUUCAGGCAUUGAUGGAAAAAUUAUCACCAAAAAUUAUGAAGUACUAAAAUUGAAUAGAUACAUUAAAGAAAUUAACCAACGUAGAGUGAAAAACUAAGACAAAUAACAAGAACGUACUCUGUAAAGAAAUGCAAUUACUUUGUCGCAAGAUAUAUCUGGAAAUAUGUUUAAGCAUUUAUUCAGACAUUAAUGAGGAAAUUACAACAAAGAAUUUAUGGAGUAGAAAAAUUUGAUAGAUACAGUGAACAAAUUAUCCAAAGAGGAUUAUAAAAUUAGAUAUGUUUGUUUUCCAAAUCAUCGACUAUAAAAACAAUGUAAUGCCAGCAUAUUUUAAGUAAAUAAAUUAAUAG